rnacentral:snoRNA from 1 species
CCCAGCAGUAGUCAGCUGCCCAGUGCCGCUCAGUGCCUGCGGUAGUGUUAUGCUGCUGGGACAGAAACGCGCUGCCGAGUCGCUCCUGGCACCACGGGCGCUGUUCUAGUGCCAGGUGGUGCUGGGGUUUGGCAGCGCUCUGCAUGCUUGAGAGUGGAGUAACCCCUCCUUGGUGGGGUUAAUCCUAGACUGGAUGCAGACAAC